rnacentral:lncRNA from 1 species
UGCAAAUAAUGAUGCAAUAUCAACUAUAUAAAUAGAAGUUAUGAAACUUACAAAGUCAAUGCAAAACUUGAAAAUUUCAAAUUGAUUUUUUGGUGUUUUUUUCCAUGGAAUGUUUUUGGUAUUUGGUCAAACAUAUACCUAUGUCAACCUCUUCAAUUUCUAAAACAUUUUAAGUGGUAAACUCUUGAUGAUUCAGAAAUACAUGCCUCCGCUCACAAAACUUCAAACUGCAUUAUCUCUAAAACGACAAUAGAUAUCUCAAAUCUGUUAAAUGAUAAAUGAUCUACAGUUGAAGGACAACAUUAUAGAAAAAGAAUUGGGACAAUUUCAAAGUUCACUAAGGUCAUAAUAUAUCAUCAAAUAUAUGAUGCAAUACAAAACUUGAGAACCGGAAGUCGUAGAGACAUGGGACUAUCACCAUUCAACUCAGGACCACUUGACCUUUCAAAUAUCACAAGGUCAAGGUCAUAGUAUAUUGUGAAGGUCAAGGUGAAAUUUCAUCAUGACCUGACAUUGACCUCAAAUUGAAGGUCUUGAACUACUGAUCAUCUUUGCAGUUUAUAGUAGGUUGAUAUCUGUUACCUUUAAAAAGAUAUACACACAAUACUAUACUUUUAAGAAUCAUCCCGUCGUAACUUUUGAACAGACAGUCGGACAUUUUUGGGCUUAUUUUAUGAAAUGUAGAGCUUGUCGAGAGGAACAUUUUAUACGCUGUAUGUAUGCAGCAAAGUCUUAUCGUUUUCCUAAUAUGUAAGCUUGAAAUUGCAGCGUAAUUUUUUUUUUGCACUCUGUGACCUUUGACCUUGGGUGCAAAUUAAAGGUCACAUGAACUUAAGAUUAUUGGUGUAGGUCCCAAGUCUCUACGACUUCUGGUUCUCGAAAUACAAUUUUUCUAAAAUUAUGUACAAUUUUACAAGGGGAAUAACUCCUUAUCAGGGUUAAUAACAAAAUGAUUGUACAUGUUCAUUAACAUUGCCAUCUGUUCCUGUACAUGUUGCCGUUUUCAAAUCGAUUCUAUCUCUUAUACUUUUUGAGAAAAAUGCAAAGAAAAGAAAUUGUUUCAAGGGGAUAUAACUCUCAUAGGGGACGAUGAAAUCCUAUUCAGCCUCACAUGGUAAUACAUCAUGAUGAGAUCUACAUUAUGUCCAUUUAAGGUCAUGAUAUCUGUAAAACCAACGAGGGGGGGCCAUGUUGAAAAAAAUCAAUAAAAGGGAGAUAACUCCUAAAGGGGAUAAUGCAAUCCUUAACAGGGUCAUUUGGUAUUACAUCUUGGUAAUGUCUAGCGAUGGUCCAUAUUUGGUCUUAAUAACUUCAACAGAAACAAGAGGCGGGCAUGUCAAACAAAUGUUGGAAGAAAAAAAAGAAAAAGAAAAAGAAAAAAAAACAUUAGAAAAACAAUAAGGUCUUUCCCAUGUAGGGGAAAGACCUUAAAAAAAAAAAUUUGUCGACCUACCGACCCUAUUUCUUAAAAGUAUGUAACUGGAACCACACAUAUAUUUUUAUUUGGCCUAAGUAAUUGAAAUGAAUAAAAUUUUAACACAAUGUUUAUAACCUCAAGAGGAAGCUUGAGAUUGAUUUUGGGGGUUAUGGUCCCUAAGGUUCAGGAAUUAGGGGCCCAAAGGGGCCCAAAACGAGCGUUUAUAUAGUUGCAGGGCAAAUAAGUUGUGUAGAAAUAUUUUAAUUGCUCUGAAAUUGUACCAGAUAUUUGUUUUGAGGCAAUUAAUAUUCAACAGCAUUGCUCAAAAAGCCAAAAAAAAAUAAUUGUUAAGUUUAUUAGACAAAUUCAUUCUGUGUCAGAAACCUAUGCUGUGUCAACUAUAAUAGUAUUUAAUCAAAUCCAAAUUCAGAGCUAUAUCAAGCUUGAAUGUAGUGUCCAUACUUGCCCCAACUGUUCAGGGUUCGACCUCUGAAGUCAUACAUUGUAUAAAGCUGCGCCCUGCGGAGCUUCUGGUUCUUUUAUAAACUCUCAUUGUUUUAUCACGAACAACUUACACAAUUACAUAACAACUAUCAAGACAAAAAGCACAGUUGUUAAAUCUUUUGAUUUUUAUGCCCCACCUACAAUAGUAGAGGGGCAUUAUGUUUUCUGGUCUGUGCGUCUGUCCGUCUGUGCCUCCGUUCGUCCGUCCGGUUAAAGUUUUUGGUCGAGGUAGUUUUUGAUGAAGCUGAAGUCCAAUUAACUUGAAACUUAAUACACAUGUUCCCCAUGAUAUGAUCUUUCUAAUUUUGAUGCCAAAUUAUAGUUUUGACCCCAAUUUCAUGAUCCACUGAACAUACAUGUAGAAAAUGAUAGUGCAAAGUUCAGGUUAAAGUUUUUGGUCAAGGUAGUUUUUGAUGAAGUUAAAGUUACAUCAACUUGAAACUUAGUACACAUGUUCCCUAUGAUAUGAUCUUUCUAAUUUUAAUUCCAAAUUAAAGUUUUGACCCCAAUUUCACGGUCCACUGAACAUAGAAAAUGAUAGUGGGAGUGGGGCAUCCGUGUACUAUGGACACAUUCUUGUUUUUUUUUAAAUCAGAUUUGUCAUAUGUACAUCUACAUUUAAUCAUGCUUUUAAAUUGAAAAAAGUAAUAUAACGUUACAAAAAUAAUGUGCACUGUACUUCCAUAUUGAAAGUCCCUAAUCAAAUGUUUAAAUAAAAAGCUCAAAC